UGACCUCGAAUCAGGUAGGACUACCCGCUGAACUUAAGCAUAUCAAUAAGCGGAGGAAU
rnacentral:rRNA from 1 species